GGGUUGUGAGGUUAAGCGACUAAGCGUACACGGUGGAUGCCCUGGCAGUCAGAGGCGAUGAAGGACGUGCUAAUCUGCGAUAAGCGUCGGUGAGGUGAUAUGAACCGUUAUAACCGGCGAUUUCCGAAUGGGGAAACCCAGUGUGUUUCGACACACUAUCAUUAACUGAAUCCAUAGGUUAAUGAGGCGAACCGGGGGAACUGAAACAUCUAAGUACCCCGAGGAAAAGAAAUCAACCGAGAUUCCCCCAGUAGCGGCGAGCGAACGGGGAGGAGCCCAGAGCCUGAAUCAGUGUGUGUGUUAGUGGAAGCGUCUGGAAAGGCGUGCGAUACAGGGUGACAGCCCCGUACACAAAAAUGCACAUACUGUGAGCUCGAUGAGUAGGGCGGGACACGUGGUAUCCUGUCUGAAUAUGGGGGGACCAUCCUCCAAGGCUAAAUACUCCUGACUGACCGAUAGUGAACCAGUACCGUGAGGGAAAGGCGAAAAGAAC
rnacentral:rRNA from 1 species